rnacentral:rRNA from 1 species
AGGAUGUUUUCAUUGAUCAAGAACGAAAGUAAGGGGAUCGAAGACGAUCAGAUACCGUCGUAGUCUUUACUAUAAACGAUGAGGACUGGGGAUCGGGCGAGGAAUUACGAUGACCCGCCCGGCACCCUCCGGGAAACCAAAGUGUUUGCUUUCUGGGGGGAGUAUGGUCGCAAGGCUGAAACUUAAAGGAAUUGACGGAAGGGCAUCCCCGGGUGUGGAGCCUGCGGCUUAAUUUGACUCAACACGGGAAAACUUACCAGGUCAGGACAUAGUGAGGAUUGACAGAUUGAGAGCUCUUUCUUGAUUCUAUGGUUGGUGGUGCAUGGCCGUUCUUAGUUGGUGGAGUGAUUUGKCUGGUUAAUUCCGUUAACGAGCGAGACCUGGGCGUGCUAAAUAGGGGCUACUACCCUCGUGGUAGUAUGUUUCUCCUUCUUAGACGGACUGUGGGCGUCUAGUCCACGGAAGCUCCAGGCAAUAACAGGUCUGAGAUGCCCUUAGAUGUUCUGGGCCGCACGCGUGCUACACUGAGUGGAUCAGCGGGUCAGGUUGCGCGAAAGUGUUUCCUAAUCUUGAAAUCCGCUCGUGAUGGGGAUUGAGGGUUGCAAUUCUCCCUCAGGAACGAGGAAUACCUUGUAAGCGCGGGUCAUCAUCCCGCGCUGAAUACGUCCCUGCCCUUUGUACACACCGCCCGUCGCUCCUACCGAUUGAGUGGUCCGGUGAGGCUUUGGGAUCUAAGCGGAAAGAGCGUUUCGCUCGUUCUGCUGGGAGAAGUCAGUCGAACCUUAUCA